AAACAUAUAUACACAUACAUAAUCAACAACUUAUAUUACUUCUACAUCCAAAUGCCAAUUACACUUGGUUACCAUUGUAAUAACCCAUUUUGCCCGGCCCAAUAAAUACCAAAAAAGAAAAAACAAAUAAAUUAAAUUAAAAUAUCCACUAUUAACAAUCUAGUUUUUUACAAAUAUUAAAAUUAAACCAAAAAUUCAAUUAAAUAAAUGCCCAUUUACAGACUCACAGCCCAAUCAGCCAAAACCAUAAUUACAAUUACCAAAUAUUAAACCCAUGCCCCAAAUAUAUAACCCAAGUCAUUCUAACCUAAACUACCCAAAAUUAACCCAAUUUGACCCAGCUAUAAUGGCCCAAACAGCCCAAAUUUUUCUAGAAACCCCUAGCGUUUCUAGAUCCUUCUGGAGCUGCAGCAGUCAAUAGCUCUAGCAUCCAAGCACAUACACGCGCCUUCAACUCCUUGCACACCAGAUCCACGCGUGUUCCCUCCAAGCUGGCCUCGCACCUGCAACAAACAGCAACAACAGAAAAGGGGCAACGAAAAUGCGAGGAAAAAAAACAAUAAUAGAAAAUAUAGCGAAAAAGAGAAAUUUCUCUGUAUUUUUCUUUUAUUUUUUUUGGCUAUAUAAAGCCAUUUCUGAAUCUGUAAAAGAGGAUGGAAUACUCGCAUAUUGAAUAUAAAUAAAAAAAUCAACGCAGAAAGUUUUUUAGGAAAGGUGAUUUUCUUCGUUUUUUCUUUCUUUUUUUUAUUUCUUUGGUUCUUUGUUUUCUUCUUUUGCACCAAACGAAAAUAAAAAGAGGAAGAGAAGAAGUGUCUUACCAGGGUAGACGCCAUUGGAACCUGGUUUGCUCCGUCUGAAUCGGAGUAAGAUCAGGUUCAUGAUUGGAAACAGCGGAGAAAGGCUAGGCCAUUGAUUUGUUUUAGAAUGGCAAAACAACUUAUUAGGGUUUUAUUUUUUAGUUUUUCAUGAUAAUAAAACGGUGCCGUUUAAGCCUCAUUUAAUGGCUUCAAAACGUCACUGUGUGGGAUGACCCGGUGAUCCGACUUGAUCCGGGGUAGGAUCCGCACAUUUUGGUUCAUUGGUUUAUUUGCGCAACGAGCCCCUCUAUGUAUUGUGUUGUUUCAAUUUGAUUUUCUCUAAUUUUUUUAAAUCUGUACCGCACAUUUGGUUCCGAUUCCAUUUGGAUCCAUAUUUAAAUGGCGUCGUUUUCAACAAUUGGAUUUGAGUAUCCAGAUUUGUGCGUCUAAUUGCAGCAAUAGUCCCUCUGGUGUGCAAUGGUUCUCAAUUUGGUCGUUUUCCUACUAAUUUAAAAGUCGUCC
rnacentral:lncRNA from 1 species